CAGCAGCCGCGGUAAUACGAAGGGGGCUAGCGUUGUUCAGAUUUACUGGGCGUAAAGGGCGCGUAGGCGGACUGAUAAGUCAGGGGUGAAAUCCCAAGGCUCAACCUUGGAACUGCCUUUGAUACUGUUUGUCUUGAGUUCGAGAGAGGUAAGUGGAACUGCGAGUGUAGAGGUGAAAUUCGUAGAUAUUCGCAAGAACACCAGUGGCGAAGGCGGCUUACUGGCUCGAAACUGACGCUGAGGCGCGAGAGCGUGGGGAGCGAACAGGAUUAGAUACCCCGGUAGUCCCUGUCUCUUAUAU
rnacentral:rRNA from 1 species